AUUUGCAUAAUUAAUUGUUUUGGUGGCAGAUAUUUUUUAUAUGGAAGAAUAUUAUAUAAUUUAUGGUGGAAUAAUUAUUGUUUAUUUAUUUUCUAUUUUUUUUUCUGUAAUGGCUAUAGUUUAAACUGGGAUUAGAUACCCCAUUAUUUUAGUUUUAAUUUUUUUCCAGGGUAGUAUUAGUUUUUUAUGAAAUCUAAAGAAUUUGGCGGCAUUUUAUCUUUUUAGGGGAACCUGUUCUUUAAAUGAUAAUACACGAUUAGCUUUACUAUAUUUAAAGGUUUGUAUACUUCCGUUAUCAGGAUAUUUAAUAAUAAUAUAUUCUUGUUUUUAUAUAAUAAAAUAUUUCAGGUCAAGGUGCAGCUUAUGUUAUAGUAUGAAAUGGGUUACAAUAAUAUUAUUUAUAUGGAUUUUUUUUUUAAAAUUUAAGAUGAAGGGGGAUUUAUUAGUAAGUUUUUAUAAUUAUAAGUUCUGAAUUAGUUCUAAUUUGGGUACAUAUCGCCCGUCAUUCUCAUAUUUGAGACAAGUCGUAACAUAGUAAAUUUACUGGAAAGGGAAUCUGGUUG
rnacentral:rRNA from 1 species